CUUGAACGCUGGCGGCAUGCCUUACACAUGCAAGUCGAACGGCAGCACGGGAGCAAUCCUGGUGGCGAGUGGCGAACGGGUGAGUAAUAUAUCGGAACGUGACCAGUAGUGGGGGAUAACUGCUCGAAAGAGCAGCUAAUACCGCAUACGACCUGAGGGUGAAAGUGGGGGACCGCAAGGCCUCAUGCUAUAGGAGCGGCCGAUGUCUGAUUAGCUAGUUGGUGGGGUAAAGGCCUAACAAGGCGACGAUCAGUAGCUGGUCUGAGAGGACGAUCAGCCACACUGGGACUGAGACACGGCCCAGACUCCUACGGGAGGCAGCAGUGGGGAAUUUUGGACAAUGGGCGAAAGCCUGAUCCAGCAAUGCCGCGUGUGUGAAGAAGGCCUUCGGGUUGUAAAGCACUUUUGUCCGGAAAGAAAUGGCUCUGGUUAAUACCUGGGGUCGAUGACGGUACCGGAAGCAUAAGGACCGGCUAACUACGUGCCAGCCGCCGCGGUAA
rnacentral:rRNA from 1 species